rnacentral:rRNA from 1 species
CCUACGGGAGGCUGCAGUCGAGAAUCUUCCACAAUGGGCGAAAGCCUGAUGGAGCGACACCGCGUGCAGGAUGAAGGCCUUAGGGUUGUAAACUGCUGUCACGCUAUAGGAACCCCUGGUCGUUAAUAGCGGCCAGGCUGACCAAAGCGAGAGGAAGCGCCGGCUAACUCCGUGCCAGCAGCCGCGGUAAUACGGAGGGCGCAAGCGUUGUUCGGAUUCACUGGGCAUAAAGAGCAUGUAGGCGGCUCGCUCAGUCAGGUGUGAAAGCCCACGGCCCAACCGUGGAACGGCACCUGAUACUGGCGAGCUCGAGGACGGAAGGGGUGAGUGGAACUCCAGGUGGAACGGUGAAAUGUAUAGAUAUCUGGAGGAACACCGGUGGCGAAAGCGGCUCACUGGUCCGUCUCUGACGCUGAGAUGCGAAAGCUAGGGUAGCGAAC